rnacentral:rRNA from 1 species
UACGUAGGGCGCAAGCGUUGUCCGGAAUUAUUGGGCGUAAAGAGCUCGUAGGCGGCCUGUUGCGUCCGCUGUGAAAUCCCGGGGCUCAACCCCGGGCCUGCAGUGGAUACGGGCUGGCUGGAGGCAGGCAGGGGAGAACGGAAUUCCUGGUGUAGCGGUGAAAUGCGCAGAUAUCAGGAGGAACAACCGUUGCGAAGGCGGUUCUCUGGGCCUGUUCUGACGCUGAGGAGCGAAAGCGUGGGGAGCGAACAGG